CCUGCACGGCCGCCGGUGAAUCAAAAAGGGUCCCAGGAAACCUGUGAAUGUUGAAGAAAAUUCGUCUGUGACUUUUUGGUAUUCAAGGAGGAGUCAGUAUUUAUAUUCAUCUUUUAAACUGGGAAGAUUUAUAUUUUAUUUUAAAACUUCUUGAUAUUUACAAUGAAUGGACACAGUGAUGAAGAAAGUGUUAGAAACAGUAGUGGAGAAUCAAGGUAUGAGGACCUUCUUGAUCAUAUCUUGCAGGGGAUUUUGUGGCAAUGGAUGCCCUCAGCUUUU